UACGUAGGGGGCUAGCGUUGUCCGGAUUUAUUGGGCGUAAAGAGCGUGUAGGCGGCCAGGUAGGUCCGCUGUGAAAACUCGAGGCUCAACCUCGAGACGUCGGCGGAAACCAUCUGGCUAGAGUCCGGAAGAGGAGAGUGGAAUUCCUGGUGUAGCGGUGAAAUGCGCAGAUAUCAGGAAGAACACCAAUGGCGAAGGCAGCUCUCUGGGACGGUACUGACGCUGAGGAGCGAAAAGUGUGGGGGAGCGAACAGG
rnacentral:rRNA from 1 species